UGCGACAGGAGCGCAGGGAGCACGCCCCGCCCCGCUGCUGACGAGAGCAGCGCGCAUGCGGGGCCGCUUGCACAUCGCCCCCUCCCCCCCGUCCUCGGCCGUUACUCGGCGCCUCCGCCCGGAGACCGCCCGUCAGUGAGCCGACAGCCGCCCCGCGGGCUCGUCACCGGCCGCCCGUCGCUGCCCCUUCGGUCCCUCCGGCCGUCCCAGUGGUUUCAGAGCCACCGGCGGCGUCCCUGCGACCCGUGAAAGUGCGGCUGGCUGUGCCGCUGCGGGCGGAGGGAGCACACGGCUGCCUGAGGGCAGGACCUGAUAAGAUGCAUCUGAAGGUCCUGAGAGAACUGGCGGAUGAAGUUGCUAAGCUACUGUCCAUCACAUUUAUGAAGUUGUGGCAGUCCGGUGAAGUUCCCACUGAGUGGAAGAGGGAAACAUGACCCCCAGUUUUAAAAAGGGAAAGAAGGAAGACCCAUGGAACUACAGGCCAGUCAGUCUCAGCUCUGUGCCUGGUAAGAUCAUGGAGCAGAUCCUCCUGGAAACUAUGCUAAUUCACAUGGAAAAUGAGGUGACUGGGGACAGCCAACAUGGCUUUGCUAAGGGCAGAUCAUGCCUGACAAAUCUAUGGUGACCUUCCAAGAUGGAAUUACAGAGUUAGUGGAUAAGGGAAGAGCAACUGACAUAAUCUACCUGGACUUGUGUCAAGCAUUUGACAUUGUCCCCCAUGAUAUCCUUGUCUCAAAAUUGGAGAGACGUGGAUUUGAUGGAUGGUCUACUUGGAGGUUAAGGAAUUGGCUGGACGUCUGUGUUGUCCGAUAAAAAGUUAUGAUUCAUUGCCUGAUGUGCAAUAAGUCAAUCUACACACUAGCUCUAGAAAUUAUUUAUUUCAGAAUUGUGCAAGACUGGGUACCAGGUGGUUUCCCACAAAGUUGCUACACAUUCGGACUUUCGAUGCCAUUCUUUAUACAGUACCUUUUCACUACAAAUACAUGUUUGUAUGAACCCCUAGCCUCCAGUUGGUUACAUAAUUCGCACACUGCUGACAUGACAGAAUCAUUCUGUGCAUCCUGAGAGAAGGGUCCCUUGCUAGGAAGGGGUCUCCCAGCCUAGGGGCAUAAAUUCUACUAUAAGAUGAGAGUAGUUCACAGGUAAUUUACAGUAAGAUACUUCUAAUCUUUGUUUUUCAGCCAACUAUUCAUGUUAUGUUGUUUGGUGACUGUUCAAAGGCAUAGUCAGGAUGUCUCCCUCAAGAAUGUCAACAUAAUGGUCUUCCUGAUUAGCAGUUCCUCACUUAAUCAUCCUUUACACAUUGCCAAGGCCUGGGUCAUCUUGCCCUUCCCUUAAAAUAUGUAUUUUUAUCUCUUUCGUACAAAACAGAAUUAAAUAUCUACUGCUAUCAGUUGCAC